GUCGAGAAUAAUUCACAAUGGACGAAAGUCUGAUGGUGCAACGCCGCGUGGAGGAUGAAGGUCUUCGGAUUGUAAACUCCUGUCAUCGGGGAGUAAGACCUGGCGGUAAAUAGCCGACAGGGUUGAUAGUACCCGAAGAGGAAGGGACGGCUAACUUCGUGCCAGCAGCCGCGGUAAUACGAAGGUCCCAAGCGUUGUUCGGAAUCACUGGGCGUAAAGGGAGCGUAGGCGGCGUGGUAAGUCAGAUGUGAAAUCCCGGGGCUCAACCCCGGAACUGCAUCGGAUACUGCCAUGCUUGAGGGUUGGAGAGGUAGCUGGAAUUCUCGGUGUAGCAGUGAAAUGCGUGGAUAUCGAGAGGAACACUCGUGGCGAAGGCGAGUCACUGGACAACAUCUGACGCUGAGGCUCGAAGGCCAGGGGAGCAAAAGGGAUUAGAUACCCGAGUAGUCC
rnacentral:rRNA from 1 species